rnacentral:tRNA from 1 species
GUAGAAUGGCUGAGAGUAUGAGGCGGUAGAUUGUAAAUCUACAAAGGAGUUUAAACUCUUCUACUA